rnacentral:rRNA from 1 species
GUGGGGAAUAUUGCGCAAUGGGCGAAAGCCUGACGCAGCCACGCCGUGUGUGUGAUGAAGGCCCUCGGGUCGUAAAGCACUGUCGGGAGGGAAGAUAGUCACUUUGGUUAAUACCCAGAAUGACCGACGGUACCUCCAAAGGAAGCACCGGCUAACUCUGUGCCAGCAGCCGCGGUAAGACAGAGGGUGCGAGCGUUGUUCGGAAUCAUUGGGCGUAAAGAGCACGUAGGCGGUAUUACAAGUCGGAUGUGAAAGCCCGGGGCUCAACCCCGGAAGGGCAUCCGAAACUGUAGUACUUGAGUCCCGGAGAGGGUGGUGGAAUUCCUGGUGUAGAGGUGAAAUUCGUAGAUAUCAGGAGGAACACCUGUGGCGAAGGCGACCACCUGGACGAUGACUGACGCUGAGGUGCGAAAGCGUGGGGAGCAAACAGG